GGAAGAGGAGGAGGAGGAGGAAGAGGAAAGAGAGCGAGAGAAGAAGAGGGAUGUCGAGAAUUUACGAGGCUUUCUAAACCAUUUGAUGAUAAAUUUUCAUAUGGAGGCACGUCUUCUGCUGAUAGAGAGAGUUCAAAAAUUGCCGCGACAACCGUAAUCCCACCAGCACAAACCACAUUUACUACCAUAUAUGAGCACAAUGAGGCCUUGAGAGAAGAGCCAAGGAGAAAAUAUAGAGGAGUGAGGCAAAGGCCAUGGGGCAAAUGGGCAGCUGAAAUAAGAGACCCGUUCAAGGCUGCUAGAGUUUGGCUAGGCACUUUUGACACUGCUGAAGCCGCAGCAAGAGCUUAUGAUGAAGCUGCACUCAGAUUCAGAGGCAGCAAGGCUAAACUGAACUUCCCGGAAAACGUCAAGCUCCGACCAUCUACCUCCAAUCCAAUGACAACCCAGUUGACAAUUUCUGAUUCUCCAAAUACCCUUUUGUCCGUGUCUACUCAGCCAAUUGUUUCAGGGGACUUGGUGAACCAUCCUCCAUUGGUGUUGGAUGUUAGUGGUUAUCAAAGACAACCCAUGAGUCUAUAUGAUCAAAUGUUUUUAUCAUCUUCAUCAACGGCUUCUCAUCAUUUUCAUUCGUCUACUUUUUCUUCAUCUCCACAAUCUUCCCUUCCUCUGCUUUUUCCAGCUCCACCUCCAGGAGAGUCCACCAGUCAGAGUAGGGGUGCAGAUAUUUCAGUCCCACCGUGGCCGGUUCCUCCUUCCUCUGGUUGAUAUAUUUUAGUAAAUUUCAAAUUUGUUGUUGCUACCACAUUUGUUCACCUGCAUUUAGUAGGUCAUUAGCUUCUUGUAACAAUCAUUAUUAUUUCUGAUUAUUAAUUUUAGUAGAUUUAGGACAUAUAUUUUGUGAUCCCAAAUAACAUUUAUUCACAGUGGCAGAUUUUUGUAUUAUAAUAAAAGGAUUUGGUUUGGG
rnacentral:misc_RNA from 1 species